AAUAAAUACAGUUUUAACACUGUCCACAUUCAAUGUUUAACCGUUUGUCUUAUUUAAAAAAAUAAUAUGAUUAGUAUUUUUAUUAUUAUUACAUGAUAAAACAUGAAUAUUAUUUUAUGUGUGAUUAUUUUUUUAAAAAUUUUUUGAAUGAGACGGAUGGUUAAAACGCUAAAUACGAAUAUCUAUGGCUGUAUUUAUU
rnacentral:pre_miRNA from 1 species